AGUUAAUUAGCUUAAUAAAGCCUAUGUUUUGAAAGCAUAUUUUAGAGGUUUAAAUCUUCUAUUAACUU
rnacentral:tRNA from 1 species